UCGAAUGGUUCAAAGAGGCUG
rnacentral:siRNA from 1 species